rnacentral:lncRNA from 1 species
GAUUCCCCUGACGCCGCCGCCACCGCCACCGCCGUCGAUCAAUUAAUAGGUGUUGGGAGUCUGGGUACGAGCAUAUGCCAUGGUGACUUCCGUGCACCUCUGGUCUCUUACUAAUGUGUUACAAGAAUAAUCUUGCUGAUGUGAAAUAAGUUGUCAUGCUUCAAAGUCUUAAAAUGUAUUGUUCACUUCUCUAUAUCAAUUUGGACUUCUGAGGUAAACGGCGGAAAUAAAUCUUUUUUUUUUUGGUGUGUUGCGUGGAUAUGCACCAUAGCAUAAGGAACGGCUAGCUGCCGUGUACGAAAGCACUUUUGGCCAGCGAUGUCAAACAAAGUUCGACGCAAUUAUAUACUGUAUUGCACAACGAGAAUGGCGAUAGAGCGGACGAGCUCGCCCGCUCCCGCUAUGCGUGCCAAUGGGACAGUGACGCGUCUGUACGUGUAAUGAAUGCGACCGUAGGGAGUAGAACAGAUGCGCAACGCCCAGCAGUAGUAUACGGUGACGGAGCCGUCUGAUCUGACGCGCAUUGAUGGUACACCAGCCAUAUGUUCCGUUGGUGAAAACAAUGACACUGACCAAGAUAAAUAUUAGCCAUGUCUUCCUUGCUAAAUGCCUCAAUUGGAAUCCAUCGUUUGUAACUAGUAGAACUCAUCCGGAAAUAUGGCGGUGAUCACAAAAAUAAAGCAGCGGGGCUACAAAACAAAACAAAAAUUCCUUCAUGUGAGAUUACAUAAAAAAAACGCUGGAAAUUCAGAGUUCGACAUUCGAAAAAGUGGAAGAAUUCAGGGGGAAAAUUCCAUAAAAGAUACAAAAACAUUACAAAUAUAGUUCAUGAAAAAGGAAGAUAAAAGAAUCUGUGCACAUUUAUAUAUGUAACAACAAACAGAAAAAAAUCGACCGUUGCUAUUUUCAGCUUUGUGCGAGUGGUAUUUGACGGUAUUUACCCUUAACCAUAUCAGUGAGAGGUGGCGUGAACUGGAAGCUAAAAACAUUCUAGUUAGCUCAUCAAACAUGCAUGCCUGUAUGUCCCAGGGAAAAAAGUUUUUUGCUUUUGUUUGCAUAAAGCACCGGCGACUAAUAUAGUUGUGCUUAGUUCUUCAGACAUGCAUGUGUGCUUCUGAGAAAACAAAAUUCGGAGAAAAUCUUCAAAAUUUGAUCUCACCAGUCUACCCCCUUACUGCAAAAUUCAGAAAACUCAUUCUAGACGUUCCCCACCUCACCCCAACCACAGCACAAGAAACAACUUUGAUUCACGUGUGGCCAGACAUACAGAUUUUGUAGAAUCAACACCUUACAAGGAUCAAGGUUUUUGAUCUAUGUUCAGGAAAAAAACAACAGGUUUGGCGAACAGUAUUCAAAUCCAUUGGUCUUCAUACAUAAUAUACGUCCGGUCUAGCAAGUCAGUUAGAAGAUCUUUUUUUUGCGGGUGAAGUCGGUUAGAAGAUCCCCAUAAGCCCGGAUUGACAAUCAGAUUUUUGUAUGCCUAGCUAUAUUCAGAAGUUUCAGACAUAUCAGAGGUUUCAGACAUAUGUGACACAAUUGUUCAUGCAGAAUUUUCAGUCACACUAAAAUCAGUUGUGGUCAGUACAUAUUGGCAUGUUCAAGUUUAUUUGCUUCAGCUGUGGGAAAAGUUAAAGAGAAGUCACUUUCAAUCUUUACCUGCUGCAAACAGAUUGAUGCUAUGUGUUACAUCAUAUUAGAAACGCUCGCCGGUGUUCUGCCCGCGACGGGCUACAUAGGUGACUACGUUCCUUCCGCAAUCCGGACAAGCCACGAUUGGCAGGAUGACCGGAUCAACACCUUGGUUCGUGUUUGCCAUCAUAAGGGUUCCUAGCUUCGAUUUGGGGUUGAUUGAGAUGGAGUGUGCGCUUAGGGUUUCUUGGAUUUGGGGAUCGAUUGGAGAAGAUUGAGUCGCCGUGAGGGCGAUGGGCUGAGUUAAAUGGAGCUGGUAGGCCGACCCAGCCGUCUUCAAUCUACCGUCCAUUUGACGCGCACCAUAUAACGUUGUUUUCUUUCGUCCGCUAUACGCAUUAAAUGUAGCCACAUACAUGCCCUAGAAUGCGGCCUAUGUCUCGUAUCCCAAAACGAGCCGAUGCUUCAGGAUACCGUGACUAGGCGAGCUCGUCCACGCCUGUGGAUUUUCGAUUGCACAACUACUCGUAUAUAUGAUGCUCACUUAUCUCCAGUCUAUAUAGGACAAAUAUGGUAGCCGACAAAAAUGAGUUUCAUGAGCUUGCACAUGCGCCUCCAUGUGAGACGUGAAGGUGACUAAAAAAUGACAUUCACAUGUCAGUUGGCAAAAAAGGUAACACUGUAAUCUUCCAUCCUUAAGGGCAUUUUCAAUGGCAACUUGUAAAUUUUCUCCCGCAUUCGUCCGCUGACAGGGAUCAGUUUAUGGACAUGGAUGUGAAAGCCCAUCAUCCAACUGUAGCCUGUAUAUGUCCGUCAGCAAAUUCAAAUUUAAAUGUACUGAUCCACACAACAUGCCGGAUCACAUCCGCGCCGGAUCGCAACCCCGAUCACAACCAAAAAGAAGAAAAUAUGCUUAGUUUUUACAUGUUCUAAUCUAAAAUAACAUCAGUCCAGUGUCCAACAGUCCGUGCAUUUCUGCCCUGCCGGACCGGCAAUCCCAGCAAGCUGCUCCUCGAUUGAGGAGGUGUCGUCGCCGCCGUGUAGGCAGCCCCCGCGUCCGCGCCAGCCUCUGCCUUCGCCGCGUCCUCAUCUUUUGCCGUCGCCAACUCAUCUUUCUACCCCUCCAACAUCUGGUAGCGGACGGAUUGCAAGAUAAUUCUAGCGCCAGCAACCAAAGAGUCGAUAUUCAAGGUCAAUAUCUUGGCAUCGUCCGCAUUAGCGGCGAUCUUCACCCUCUUUCCAUGGAGCACGGCCUUCUUUUCCUUGAGCGCGGCCUUCUAUUCCUCGAGCACGACCUUCUUCUCCUCGAGUGCCCCCUUCCUCUCUUCGAUCAUGGUCCUGCUCUCUUCGAGCUUGAUCUUCUUCUCUGUCGCUUCUAUCAACUGUUUGAACCUAUUUGCUAGCUCCAUCUCCUACAGGUUCUCCGACGUUUUCAUGCUCCGCCUUUCUUUUAGGUAGGCCAGGGGCGGAGAGUGACGUUUCGUGUGUCUGAAGUCCCGCAAAGGCCCUCACAUUUUUCUUCGAAUUGCGGGAAAAAUCACGUCCGGACUGCUCCGCGGAUCGAUACAAGAUAGGUUGGUCCUGUUGGAUGGCUUUUACGGUGCGGAGAGCGCGAUGCAGACGGUUGCGGGAGGUUUGAGGGACGCGGGGAUGCCCUAAUUAAGAAUCCUCUUGGACAUAGGGUAGAGUUGAACUCGUGUUCAACUACUGCUAAGGUUGGUCAUAGUGGAGAGUAACUUAGACUAGUAACAUGCUUAUGUUACUAGUCUAUGUUAUAACCUUCAUAGUGGAGAGUAACAUAUAUGUGGUGUCAUGCAAGCCAUCACUUAUUAAGGUGUAGACUCAUUUUGUCUUGGGAUAUGUUAUGUUACAGUAACAUAUUAUGUUACUUCAAUCAUCUCUCUCCUCAUUAAAUACAUGUCAUGUAAGCAAAUUUUUCUUGGAUGUGUUAUGUUACUUGCUAAGUUACUCCCGCUAUGACCAGCCUAAAAAAUACCGCACUCGCGGGAUCGAGGAAAGGACAAACGGCCGUGCGGACCUCGAGGUCAACACACGGAAGAGAAGAGACAAAAUUCAGAGUCCCGGGUCGACAAUUUAAGAACGCCGCAAAUCCUACAGUGAACAGCUAGCUCACGUCUGCAGAGUCUCACUGUCUCAGUGGCUACUGACCGGAGCUGUACUGAUAUCAGAUCUACAGAGUACGGUGGUCUCGGAUCCACCUAUAGCUCGACCGAUGCGUCGCCGGACGGCCGUCCACGCGGUCCUCGUUGCCGCCGGCCUCCUGGUGCUGCUGGCCACGUACUCGCCGCCGCCGCUGCGUUCUCCUCCAGGUAUGCAUAAUGCAUAUAAUUUCCUCUGCGAGCUCCAAAUCCCAGCUUAUGUGACAGUGUGUGUGUGAAUGGAUUCGCAGUGCUGCUACUGGGUGGCGACGCCGACGCGGGUGCGCAGGGUAGCCGGUCGGCGCAGUCGACGCCACGUGAGAGGAGGAAGCUGGGUGUGGUAGCCGGCCGGCGCUUGGGCCAGAGAGUGCCCGUGAAGCCACCCUCGCCGGACCCCAACGGCUGGAAGACGAUGGUGAAGCCCGUGCCGCCGCCGCCGCCGCCGCCAUCAUCAAUUUACUAGGCGUACGAAAGCAGUAUGCCGAUCUGGUGCUCACUCGCCCAUGCUAUGCAACGUCGCGUACUUGCGCGUGGCCGACGGCUGCAAAAUCUUGUCUUAGGACUGUCUUUUCAUUUCCUGUGGUGCUUCUAAUGGCGCUUAUGGAUGACUGGAACGGUCUUUUGCUCCGUGCAAAAGCAUGAAACCUCCAGUUUCGCUAUUUGUAGCCACUCCCUAAUUUUGUUUCGUGGGACCAAAAUAAUGUUAAUACUCUACUCUUUCUUAUUAUUUUGAGCAAAGCUUAAUACUCUGCUGGUUAAGUACAAAUGUUCUGGCCUUUUGGCGGGCUAAAUUGUGUAUGGGUCCAGCCUAGUUGCAGGCUUGUGGCUCAACUUGAUACAUUUCGCUUCGUGAGAGAGGUGAAGACAGGGGAAAUUUUUCGGCAUUUCCUGUACGGCGCUUAAGGCGCCUGUUAUAGUAUAGCUUGCAAACGGGCGCACACCCCCCGUCUUGAACCCAUGACCUCCUCCUCAUGUGCUAAAUACGGUAGCAAUCCAGCAAACGCACCUGAAUGUGUUUGGUUGCUUCUUUUUACUCUUUUCUUCUUUCUUCUUUCUUCUUUCUUUUUUUCUUUUUGGUUCCUCUGUUUCUUCUUCUUUUUGAUAUGCGUGACCUUUCUUUAUCAAAAUCGAUGAACUUUUGAAACCAAUGAACUUUUUUUAAUUCAGUUUUUUUCACAAUUGAUGAACUUCAUAUAAAUUUGUAAACUAUUUUUGAAAAUCCAUGAACUUUUUCCAGUUUGAUGAUUUGUUAAAAAAAUAAUUGACUUUUUUUAAAUCGAUAAACUAUUCUUCAAAUUUUUUUUCAGUUUCUGUGAACUUUUUUUCAGAACGAUGAUUUUUUUUUCAAAUUGUUGAACUUUUUUCAAAAUAUUGAUGAACUUUUUUCAAAUUUUUGUGAACUUUUUUUCAAAAUCGACAAACUGUUUUCAAAAUCAAUGAAUUUUUUAAUAGGGCAACUUUUUUUUCCUGUUCGUGAACUUUUUUUGAAAUCUAUGAACUUUCAUUUAGAAAAAAAAAAGAAAAAUCACGCAUGAGCGGCUGUAACUGUUCUUAAAAUAUUAGCGCUGCUUCCAGUCACUUGUAACGAGGUGAUAUCUGGAAAAGCACUGGCCCAGCUGUGUUUCUGGUGUGUUCGGGUCGUGUAUGUGUCCUGUUACACUGUUUUUCUUCAAUGAAUAAUGACGUUUGAUUAUUUGCCGCUGGUUGAUGUGUCCAGUUACACAGUGCGUUUGCACGUGAGAGAUGCUGCAUGUUGUGUGGGUUUGGCUUAUUGCUCUUUUUUCCACAGUCAGAUUUAAAUGUUGUGUAUGUGCUCACGCAAACAAAAAAAAUGUGUUGUGUACGUGCGCGCGUGUGUAAUGGGCACUGCUAUGUUGCGAGUCAUCCCAAUUUUAUUUUUUUUGUGAAAUGAGUCACCCCAAACUAGGCACCAUGCACCAUCAUCUUGAGCAAAGUAAGGGCCUGUUCGGAUUCACUCCGCUCCACAACUCCGCUCCGGGAGCGGGCGGAGCAGCGCCGAACGCUCCAACUCCACGGAGUCAAAGGAGUGGAGCGGAGCCGAUCGCAGUUGAAUCUGGCGGAGUCGCUAAAGUCGGGCUCCCACGACUCCCUCGCCUCUCCCCCUCCCAACUUACCGCUUCAAUCAAUUUUUCUGCCUCUCGCUCCCAGGCUCGAUCCAAUCUGCCUGUUUGAUGUGUUGUGGGGAGCCAGCAACCUGGGUGUGGAGUGGAGUUAGUUGCCGAACAAGUUUUCUGCUCCUCAUUUGCCCUGGGGAGCCAGCAACCUUGGAGCUGGGAGUGGAGCUAAGGAUCUGACGGAGUGGAGCGGAUACGAACAGGCCCUAAGUGUGUCGCGUGUGUACAAUAUGGAGUUGAAUGUCCCUCGUCAAAAAAAAAGAUGGAGUUACCUGCUACUCCUUUACCACUAAAGUGAUCUAGACGCUCUUAUAUUUCUUUACGGAGGGAGUAGUUAACAGUGUAGCCGUCGACACGUCUACAGGGUCGGGCGGGGUUGGACAUGCAUUAUAUUUUUCAGUAUUAGCAUCUAUUAAAAUUUUGGCCACAUACUUUGUGAGGGGCAAAAGGUCUCUUCAGAUGUCAUUGAAAACCCUUAAGGCUUAAAAUGUACAAAAAUGAUAGAAAAGGCGUAAAAUUUAGAUUCGGCGUUAUAUAAGUAAGAAAAACAAUCGGGGUCAAAUAGAAAAACAAAAUUUAAGAAAAUAUUAAAUAAGGAAUUGUCUCAUUUCUUAAUCUCUCACUAGAUACUGACUCGGAAUGGCAGUACUUUCUCUGUUUUAUUUACUUUGCAUAUAAUUUUUUCCUUCUUGUAGUUUGGGCCGAAGUGUUUUUUUCUUCUGAUUUCUUCCGAUAUUGCCACGUCCACGCAACAAAUGCAUUAAGCACUCUGCAUGUUGCAUACACAAUUUCCAUGCUAGCGGCUGGCUGGGGAUUUUAGAGGGUCACAAUCCGACAACGAACAACUCACAUCACGCACAAAUCAAUCUCUUACUCAUUGUCUUGUAGGUACUGACUCGAGCCUCCGGUUUUUAUUUAGUUUGUGUGCAAGCUUUUUUUUUCGUUUUUAGUUUGCGUCAAAGCCUUUUUCCCGAUCUUUUUCGAUAUCGCCCCUUGAAUUUCAGCUUUGCACACCACCGAUGCAUUAAAUACCCCUUCCAUUGCGUACGCAACUUCCCCUCUCCUUCCUCCUCNNNNNNNNNNNNNNNNNNNNNNNNNNNNNNNNNNNNNNNNNNNNNNNNNNNNNNNNNNNNNNNNNNNNNNNNNNNNNNNNNNNNNNNNNNNNNNNNNNNNNNNNNNNNNNNNNNNNNNNNNNNNNNNNNNNNNNNNNNNNNNNNNNNNNNNNNNNNNNNNNNNNNNNNNNNNNNNNNNNNNNNNNNNNNNNNNNNNNNNNNNNNNNNNNNNNNNNNNNNNNNNNNNNNNNNNNNNNNNNNNNNNNNNNNNNNNNNNNNNNNNNNNNNNNNNNNNNNNNNNNNNNNNNNNNNNNNNNNNNNNNNNNNNNNNNNNNNNNNNNNNNNNNNNNNNNNNNNAGCCACCUGUUUUCUCGUCCUCGCCAUCGUCCUCCUUCUCCCGCUCCUGCUAGCUUCCUAUCCAUGUGUGGCCGCCGCACAUGGCCCACCGCAUCAUGCUCCAGGUACAUAUAGUUCCCUUUGGUUGUUUCCGAAUUUGUGCUUCGUUCUUUGUAUGUAUAGAUGGGCCCAUCGAUGUAAUUAUGGUGAUGAUGCUAGGUGGUGACGUUGGUGUGUGGGGUCAAACUGGCGGGCUGCAUCGUCAAGGAGGAAAGGUGUCAGGGAUGGGAGCCGCGAGGCGCUUGGGACAGAGGAUACCGCUAAAGGAUCCUCCCUCACCAAUCCCUAAUGAAAACUCGGGGGUGGUGAUUCCCCUGCUGCCGCUGCCGAUCAAUUAAUAAGUGUUGGGAGUCUGGGCACGAGCAUAUGCCAUGGUGACUUCCGUGCACCUCUAGUCUCUUACUAAUGUGUUAGAAGAAUAAUCUUGCUGUUGUGAAAUAAGUUGUCAUGCUUCAAAGUCUUAAAAUGUAUUGUUCACUUCUCUAUAUUCAAUUUGGACUUCUGAGGUAAAUGGCGGAAAAAAUAAAUUUAAUAUAGUCAGAGGCAAGUUGUCUCAUGCUAAGAUCCGGUUGACUAGAUAGUAAUAAGUUAAUUAUAGCAUACAUAUAUAAUUUUCCUGUGUGAAACAUUUUUUUUGAUAAUGAUGAACAUUAAACUAGCGGGUGUAAUCACUGCUGCCGUCGACUGACGAAAAGCGCCGGGGCUCCGCGCGGGCACGCGAUGAUACUUGCCAAUCUGUAAUCAUUCUCCAAG